rnacentral:lncRNA from 1 species
UUGCAUCAAGAAGGCUCUCGUCGAUUGCACGGAGGUAUAAAUCCGAUCCCCCCUUUGCAAAAAUGGAUUCCCCUCGUUAUCACGAUUCCGUUUUUGAGGUUAGUUUUAUUUUUCGGAUUUGAUCUACCUAUGGUGUGGAUUUCUCUUCCAAGAACUUGCUAACGAACACGUCGCCGACCAAUGUCGACGUUCAUGGAUUCAGAGAGACUUGUUGACUACACCCUAGGGAGGGAGACGGUGCUCGCAUGUACUCUAGCUGAGUACGGCAGAUGUACCAGAUGUACACGCGUCGUGACGUCCCGUUGAUGCAUGAUCCGUUCUGCCCGAGCUGCUACAAUACAUGGUUGCGCUCAGAUG